rnacentral:tRNA from 1 species
GGGAGCGUAGCUCAGAGGUAGAGCAGCGGACUGUUAAUCCGUUUGUCGGAAGUUCGACCCUUCCCGUUCCCG